AACCCAAAAUAUCAAACCAUAGCCCAUAGACGUUAGGGAUAAAUUUACUUUGAUCACCUCAGGGACGCACGAAAACAGCACAGAAGCUCGAAAACCAGGAAGCCAUGGGAGGAACAGCAAGAACCCUCUUGGCCCUGUCUCUAAGUUCGAACCUCUUCGCUCUCUCUCGACUCUCUUAUGCGCCCAAACGAUUCUCACUUCCCAAAACCACCAGGGUUUUUGUAGGGUUUAGGCCCCUAUGCACUACUAUUACUCCCACCACGCCCACUACAAGCCUUGCGGAACCAGAGCAAAUGAAGCACUCAAUUCUUCUCGAGAGACUGAGGCUCAGACACCUCAAAGAAUCUGCCAAACCCCCACAAACUAGAAAUCCAAAAUCAGCCACUGCUGCUGGGAGUGAAAAUGAGGAUGGGUCCAAGAAGAAGAAGACUGGGAAGAGGGUGGUUGAGAGUUUUGAGGAGCUGGGUUUGAGUGAGGAGGCGAUGGGGGCUGUGAGGGAGAUGGGUAUUGAGGUUCCUACUGAGAUUCAGUCUAUUGGGAUCCCGGCCGUCUUUGAAGGGAAGAGUGUGGUUUUGGGUUCCCACACUGGGUCUGGCAAAACUCUGGCUUACAUGCUGCCCCUUGUUCAGUUGCUGAGACGGGAUGAGGCAUUGUUUGGUAUGCUAACGAGGCCUAGGCGCCCUCGAGCUGUUGUGCUAUGCCCCACAAGGGAGUUAUCUGAGCAGGUAUUUCGUGUUGCAAAGUCAAUUGGUCAUCAUGCACGGUUCCGUUGUACCAUGGUAAGCGGUGGUGGCCGCCUAAAACCCCAGGAGAAUUCAUUAAAUAACCCAAUUGAUAUGGUAGUUGGGACCCCUGGCAGGGUUCUCCAACAUAUUGAGGAGGGCAACAUAGUGUAUGGAGACAUCAAGUACUUGGUGUUGGAUGAGGCUGACACCAUGUUUGAUCGUGGCUUUGGUCCUGAAAUUCGAAAGUUUCUUGGCCCAUUAAAAAAUCGUGCAUCAAAGGCUGACACCGAAGGGUUCCAAACAAUUUUGGUCACUGCAACAAUGACAAAGGCAGUGCAAAACCUGAUUGAUGAGGAAUUUGAAGGCAUUGUACAUUUGCGCACAUCAACGCUGCAUAAGAAAGUGGCAUCUGCUCGCCAUGAUUUCAUCAAACUUUCAGGUUCUGAAAACAAGAUGGAAGCUUUAUUACAGGUUCUGGAGCUAAGUUUGGCAAAGGGAAACAGAGUGAUGGUAUUCUGUAACACAUUAAAUUCUAGCCGUGCUGUGGAUCACUUUCUGGGUGAAAAUCAGAUUUCCACAGUCAAUUAUCAUGGCGAGGUGCCUGCAGAGCAAAGGGUUGAAAACCUCAAUAGGUUUAAGAGUAAUGAAGGAGAUUGCCCUACGUUGGUGUGCACAGACUUGGCUGCCAGGGGACUCGACUUGGACGUAGAUCAUGUUAUCAUGUUUGAUUUCCCCUUGAACUCUAUUGAUUACCUUCAUCGCACGGGAAGAACUGCUCGCAUGGGUGCAAAAGGGAAAGUAACAAGUUUGGUUGCUAAAAAGGAUCUCCUGUUGGCCACCCGAAUAGAGGAGGCCAUGAGGAAGAAUGAGAGCUUGGAGUCUCUUACCACAGACAAUGUUCGAAGGGAUGUUGCCAGGGCCCGAAUAACUGGGAGCAAGGUGAUGAAUGCUAAAUCACUUAAAGUUUCACAGCAGAAAAAUAAGGUCGUACUGAAAGGUAAAAAGACAUCUGCUCCAGCAAAAUCUACCAAGCCAGCAGUUAAGGUCUCAAAAUCAAUAAAAUCAUCCACUGCUAGUACCUCAAGAAAACCAUCUUCAGGAGGGAAGAAGCAAACGGCCAGCAGAAGGUCAAGUUCUGUUCAAACCACAACUACAAAGCUAAGCGUUGUUGGGUUUAGGGGGCGCAAUUCUUGGACUAAUCAGAAAGGAGCAACCGUGUCCCGUUGAACGAGGUUAAAUUUUGGGUUAACUUUGCAAUUGCAUUUGUGAACAUUCUUCUGGCAUUUCACUCCCAUGAGUAUGUUCUCCUUACAAAUGGAAAGCUCACCACUAAACAUGCUCUUGCCGCAUCAGGAUUGUUGCUCUAACAUUGAGCUAUGUUACAAGGUUCUCAUUGUUGGAACCAUAGCAAGAAGAGUCAUGGUUGUUCGGCCCUGGUCGAAAUGUGCUUUGGAAGAGUAUGCAUCAAGAGAAUGGGUUAUGCUCAAGAUAGUAAGAGGGUUUAUGUAAUCUUCAAGCCGGCUUGAUGGGGGUGUUAGAUCGUGCAGAUUUAUUGGAGUUUAGCUGACUUUUGACUUAGUAGUUUGGUUUUGGUGGUUCUUGAAAAUAGUAUGGUGUUGGUGAUCUUUCACAUCCACUUCUCUUUGUGAUGCAACUUUUACUUCAUUUGUUUCCGUUUCGGUUCAAAUGUUUUGUUUCAUGUAUGAAUUGAUACAUCUCCUACUCUUUCUCUCCUAAGAAGAGUGACGGUACUCUCAAUUUUAUUAA